rnacentral:rRNA from 1 species
UACAGAGGUCCCAAGCGUUGUUCGGAUUCACUGGGCGUAAAGGGUGCGUAGGCGGCGGGGAAAGUUUGAUGUGAAAGCUCCGGGCUUAACCCGGAAAUGGCAUUGAAAACUCCCCCGCUAGAGGAUUGGAAGGGAGACUGGAAUUCUCGGUGUAGCAGUGAAAUGCGUAGAUAUCGAGAGGAACAUCAGUGGCGAAGGCGAGUCUCUGGACAAUUCCUGACGCUGAGGCACGAAAGCCAGGGUAGCAAACGGG